rnacentral:tRNA from 1 species
CGAUAGCUCAGCGGUAGAGCAAUCGGCUGUUAACCGAUCGGUCGUAGGUUCGAAUCCUACUCG